UCACAGCCGGCGAUCUCUUCUCCUCUACCUUCUCGCCAGUCGCCACUCGCCAGCCGGCGAUCUCUUCUCCUCUACUCUCCUCUUUGAAGUGGUAUCCUUUGGAGCUGCGGAAGGAGAAAUCUACUAAAGGCAA